rnacentral:lncRNA from 1 species
GAAAGAGAAGCACAGAAGUGGAAAAGGCUGUUGUAAAUAGAAGAAAGAUUUCUGCUGAAAGUCGAAGAAAGCCAAAGAUAGAAGAGAAAUACCGUGAGAAAAAAUAAACCUGUAAUUUUCAAGUUGAGUGCAAUACAAAAGCACAAUGUAGUCUCCAAAUGGAAAAACUCCAUGGCAAGAUAAGAUGCCCAGCAACAGCACCACCAACAACUCCUGUCUCAGACUGAGGAUCAUUCUGCCACAGAA